UACGUAGGGCGCAAGCGUUAUCCGGAAUUAUUGGGCGUAAAGAGCUCGUAGGCGGCCUGUCGCGUCGGUUGUGAAAGCCCGGGGCUUAACCCCCGGGUCUGCAGUCGAUACGGGCAGGCUAGAGUUCGGUAGGGGAGAUCGGAAUUCCUGGUGUAGCGGUGAAAUGCGCAGAUAUCAGGAGGAACACCGGUGGCGAAGGCGGAUCUCUGGGCCGAUACUGACGCUGAGGAGCGAAAGCGUGGGGAGCGAACAGG
rnacentral:rRNA from 1 species